UACGUAGGAUGCGAGCGUUGUCCGGAAUUAUUGGGCGUAAAGCGAACGUAGGCGGCCUUUUAAGUUUGGUCUUAAAGACCGGGGCUCAACCCCGGGAAUGGACUGAAUACUGGGAGGCUGGAGGAUGUCAGAGGAAAGUGGAAUUCCCAGUGUAGCGGUGAAGUGCGUAGAUAUUGGGAGGAACACCAGUGGCGAAAGCGACUUUCUGGGGCAUUCCUGACGCUGAGGUUCGAAAGCUCGGGGAGCAAACAGG
rnacentral:rRNA from 1 species